UCCGAGUAAAUAUUUAUUAAGUAUGUACCAUGUAUAGGUGAUACAGAAAUAGUGGGGAACAAACUGAGGGGGAUGGGAAGAUGCUGCUACCCAAAUAAAGAAUGUUUACAUAAAUCUUUAUCCUUUUUGCUUCAGUGGAAACAGUUUUUUUUUUACAUUUCACUUUAAAACCAAUGAACCACUUUUGUUUCCAUGUACCUGACCCUACCACUCCUAAAGCAAAUUUACCCUUUCCACACUCUCAUCCAAUUACUGUGUUCUCCUUUAGAGACUACACCCAGAAGCCACACUCUAUUCUUGGAUGCCUUACCAAACCAGUUCACCAAGCUUUCUUCCUUAGAGCCAGAUCCUGAAAUCCCAUCUCUCAGGAAGCCUUAACUUGAAAGUCAGGUUAAUCUGUUUAGCCUCACCCACAGACAGCUUAUAACUACCAUAACUCUCUCUGCACUCACCACCUUAUAAUAGGCACCUAUUACUAUAAUUCUGCUCAGAAGUUAAUUUAUUCAUGUGCUUAUUCAGUACAUUACUCAUUGCCCUUAUGGGUCUGUAUCAGGUCUUAAAUAAAAGCUACCAGAUAAAAGGACAUGUACUGUACUUGGGUUUAGCACUGAAAAAUGACAAUGCUUAAUGCUUUUUGAAACUGAUUUCAAAUACAUUAAAUUUAACCUGAUUUGUGAAAUUUAUAAAAUCUCCCAACAUAGAUGAAUCUCAAAAACAUUAUGUUAAGUGAAAAGUGCCAGACACAAAUGACCUCAUAUCGUAUGAUUCCAUUUAUAUGAAAUUCUAGGAAAAACUAUAGUAAUGGAAAGCAAAUCAGGGGUGAGGGGCCUUAUUUUCCCACAUAGUAGGUUUUUUUUUUAAAGGCAAGAAUGAUUUAAAAACUUCAAAUCUAUAUCAUCUCAGAUUUAAUCUUCACCUCAUAAGAUAAAUUUGCAACUUUCUUCCAAAUGAUUUACUUGCUCAUUUACAACCAAUAGCACAUUUUAUCACUCAAUUCUCCAUUAAAACUGUAAAUCAGCAUUGGAACUUUGUUUUUUUUUUUGUUGUGUUUUUUUGUGU
rnacentral:lncRNA from 10 species